rnacentral:rRNA from 1 species
GAUGAACGCUGGCGGCGUGCCUAAUACAUGCAAGUCGAGCGAACAGACGAGGAGCUUGCUCCUCUGACGUUAGCGGCGGACGGGUGAGUAACACGUGGAUAACCUACCUAUAAUACUGGGAUAACUUCGGGAAACCGGAGCUAAUACCAGAUCAUAUAUUGAACCGCAUGGUUCAAUAGUGAAUGACGGUUUUGCUGUCACUUAUAGAUGGAUCCGCGCCGCAUUAGCUAGUUGGUAAGGUAACGGCUUACCAAGGCGACGAUGCGUAGCCGACCUGAGAGGGUGAUCGGCCACACUGGAACUGAGACACGGUCCAGACUCCUACGGGAGGCAGCAGUAGGGAAUCUUCCGCAAUGGGCGAAAGCCUGACGGAGCAACGCCGCGUGAGUGAUGAAGGUCUUCGGAUCGUAAAACUCUGUUAUUAGGGAAGAACAAAUGUGUAAGUAACUAUGCACGUCUUGACGGUACCUAAUCAGAAAGCCACGGCUAACUACGUG